rnacentral:rRNA from 1 species
CUACGGGAGGCAGCAGUGGGGAAUAUUGGACAAUGGGGGCAACCCUGAUCCAGCAAUGCCGCGUGAGUGAUGAAGGCCUUAGGGUUGUAAAGCUCUUUCGGCGGGGACGAUGAUGACGGUACCCGCAGAAGAAGCCCCGGCUAACUUCGUGCCAGCAGCCGCGGUAAUACGAAGGGGGCGAGCGUUGUUCGGAUUUACUGGGCGUAAAGGGCGCGCAGGCGGUCUUGAAAGUCAGGCGUGAAAGCCCCGGGCUUAACCUGGGAAUUGCGCUUGAUACUCUGAGACUGGAGUACGGGAGAGGAGAGUGGAAUUCCCAGUGUAGAGGUGAAAUUCGUAGAUAUUGGGAAGAACACCAGUGGCGAAGGCGGCUCUCUGGACCGUAACUGACGCUGAGGCGCGAAAGCGUGGGGAGCAAACAGGAUUAGAUACCCCGGUAGUCCG